rnacentral:rRNA from 1 species
CAGUCGCCGCGGUAAUACGAAGGGUGCAAGCGUUAAUCGGAAUUACUGGGCGUAAAGCGUGCGUAGGCGGUUUGUUAAGUCUGCUGUGAAAUCCCCGGGCUCAACCUGGGAAUGGCAGUGGAUACUGGCAAGCUAGAGUGUGUCAGAGGAUGGUGGAAUUCCCGGUGUAGCGGUGAAAUGCGUAGAGAUCGGGAGGAACAUCAGUGGCGAAGGCGGCCAUCUGGGACAACACUGACGCUGAGGCACGAAAGCGUGGGGAGCAAACAGGAUUAGAGACCCCCGUAGUCCCUGUCUCUUAUAC